UGAGGAAUAUUGGUCAAUGGGCGAGAGCCUGAACCAGCCAAAUAGCGUGCAGGAUGACGGCCCUAUGGGUUGUAAACUGCUUUUAUGUGGGGAUAAAGUGCGUGACGUGUCAUGCAUUGCAGGUACCACAUGAAUAAGGACCGGCUAAUUCCGUGCCAGCAGCCGCGGUAAUACGGAAGGUCCGGGCGUUAUCCGGAUUUAUUGGGUUUAAAGGGAGCGUAGGCUGUCUAUUAAGCGUGUUGUGAAAUUUACCGGCUCAACCGGUGGCUUGCAGCGCGAACUGGUCGACUUGAGUAUGCAGGAAGUAGGCGGAAUUCAUGGUGUAGCGGUGAAAUGCUUAGAUAUCAUGACGAACUCCGAUUGCGCAGGCAGCUUACUGUAGCAUAACUGACGCUGAUGCUCGAAAGUGCGGGUAUCAAACAGG
rnacentral:rRNA from 1 species